CUGCGUCAAAUUCAAAUUUCAAACGCGCCAUUUUACAACUGUAAACUGUUAUUUCACUUCGUCUGUCUUCCUUCGCUUGGCGUUUUAUAUACUUUCGACACAAUUUUAGUGUUUUAAAAAAUGGCCAAUUGUGCGAUUUCUUUGUUGAAAGAAAUAUGAAGGCAAGUUCCCGAGGCAGCGUCUCUUAUCGAAGGGCCAAUUCUUCAAAGUUAUAUGGUACUCCUUAGGCACUGGUGUAUGGACUACUAUGAAAAAUGUGUUCACAACAGCAUAUUAUCAGAUGGAUCUGGAUUAUCCACCUGAACAUGAGAUAAGUCUCACAUUUCUGCAUUACAUGGUGUUUGUUGAUAUAGCUGUGCUAAGCCUUUUAUUGUUUAUAUUUUAGGGCCAUCUCAAUGUUGUUAAGCCAUUUGCAAGGGGAAAACAUUUUGCAAACUGACGACUCUGAAUCCAUAAGGUUUUCAAAGGGACAAAUUUACUGGUGGACAUUACCGCAAAAUAAUUUUUCUGGAGUCAGUGAUGGUGAAGAAUGGGGACAAGGCAACUCAAUGGAUGGCCUGAAAUUCGGCAAAGUCUCAAUCAGAAGUGCCUGGACAAAGUAAGACAGAACAAAAAAAUAUCAAUGUCUACAGAACUAAAAGACUAAAAAGAUGAACAUUAAUUUGAACUUUAUCUGGGGUAAUAUUUGUCUUAUAUUUUGAUUGAGUAAUUUUUUAUGUAAUGCAA